GUGAGGAAUAUUGGUCAAUGGGCGGGAGCCUGAACCAGCCAAGUCGCGUGAAGGAAGAAGGAUCUAUGGUUCGUAAACUUCUUUUGCAGGGGAAUAAAGUGCAGGACGUGUCCUGUUUUGUAUGUACCCUGAGAAUAAGGAUCGGCUAACUCCGUGCCAGCAGCCGCGGUAAUACGGAGGAUCCGAGCGUUAUCCGGAUUUAUUGGGUUUAAAGGGUGCGUAGGUGGUUUGAUAAGUCAGCGGUGAAAGUUUGCAGCUUAACUGUAAAAAUGCCGUUGAAACUGUCGGACUUGAGUGUAAAUGAGGUAGGCGGAAUGCGUGUUGUAGCGGUGAAAUGCAUAGAUAUCACGCAGAACUCCGAUUGCGAAGGCAGCUUACUAAGCUACAACUGACACUGAAGCACGAAAGCGUGGGGAUCAAACAGGAUUAGAUACCCGUGUAGUCC
rnacentral:rRNA from 1 species